rnacentral:rRNA from 1 species
AACCCGACUACAUGAAGCCGGAAUCGCUAGUAAUCGCGGAUCAGAAUGCCGCGGUGAAUACGUUCCCGGGUCUUGUACACACCGCCCGUCACACCAUGGGAGUUGGAAAUGCCCGAAGUCAGUGGCCCAACCGGGAAGGGGGGAGCUGCCGAAGGCAGGUUCGAUGACUGGGGUGAAGUCGUAACAAGGUAUC